rnacentral:rRNA from 1 species
UAGGGAAUCUUCGGCAAUGGACGGAAGUCUGACCGAGCAACGCCGCGUGAGUGAAGAAGGUUUUCGGAUCGUAAAGCUCUGUUGUUAGAGAAGAACGUUGGUAGGAGUGGAAAAUCUACCAAGUGACGGUAACUAACCAGAAAGGGACGGCUAACUACGUGCCAGCAGCCGCGGUAAUACGUAGGUCCCGAGCGUUGUCCGGAUUUAUUGGGCGUAACGCGAGCGCAGGCGGUUCUUUAAGUCUGAAGUUAAAGGCAGUGGCUUAACCAUUGUACGCUUUGGAAACUGGAGGAUUUGAGUGCGGAAGGGGAGAGUGGAAUUCCAUGUGUAGCGGUGAAAUGCGUAGAUAUAUGGAGGAACACCGGUGGCGAAAGCGGCUCUCUGGUCUGUAACUGACGCUGAGGCUCGAAAGCGUGGGGAGCAAACAGG